rnacentral:rRNA from 1 species
AUGAACGCUGGCGGCGUGCCUAAUACAUGCAAGUCGAGCGAACAGACGAGGAGCUUGCUCCUCUGACGUUAGCGGCGGACGGGUGAGUAACACGUGGAUAACCUACCUAUAAGACUGGGAUAACUUCGGGAAACCGGAGCUAAUACCGGAUAAUAUAUUGCACCGCAUGGUUCAAUAGUGAAAGACGGUUUUGCUGUCACUUAUAGAUGGAUCCGCGCCGCAUUAGCUAGUUGGUAAGGUAACGGCUUACCAAGGCAACGAUGCGUAGCCGACCUGAGAGGGUGAUCGGCCACACUGGAACUGAGACACGGUCCAGACUCCUACGGGAGGCAGCAGUAGGGAAUCUUCCGCAAUGGGCGAAAGCCUGACGGAGCAACGCCGCGUGAGUGAUGAAGGUCUUCGGAUCGUAAAACUCUGUUAUUAGGGAAGAACAAAUGUGUAAGUAACUAUGCACGUCUUGACGGUACCUAAUCAGAAAGCCACGGCUAACUACGUG